UCAUGCGCGGCACGACACGGUCUGGUGCGCCGCCCCAAGAUCUAGGAGAUCUAUAUGCCCGCGCUGAGCUCCAUGAUGAUUCAGGCUAAGAUCGAGUGUCCCGGGGGAAAGCCUGGCUGUCGUCAAGUCCAAAGUCGGCAUUGAGAUUUGAGAGCUUCUAUGAUAACAUUCUCCCUGCCAUUGAGAACGCCAUUCGGCCCUCCUAUAGAUCUGUUCGCUGAGUCCGAGGACGAGGCCCCAAUCUCCAAGGCUCCCGCUACAGCCCCUCCUCCACCACCAUAACCUCCUUCUCCUUCAAAUCUCUGGCUACGGUCACAUCUCCUUCAAAGACCGUGGCAAUUCCGAAUCCCCCCAAGAAGCUCACGAACCAGUACAAGUUGGACACUGGGGCCAUUGUUGGGAAGUGACCCUUUGGAGGGAUUGCUCCUUCGGAUGUGGAGGUAGCUUCUAGCAUCCAACCCUACAUGACUAUGAUUCUGUGCAGAAGAACAUGGUCGAGAGGCUCUUGCUUGAUGUACUCUAUGAAAAGAUUAAGUCACUAGUGUGACUAUGACUGGCCUGGUGGCAAAGGCUGCAGCAAUGGCGCUUGUACAGCAUCCCGUAGUGCAAGAAAACUGCAAGGAUGGUAAGAGCUUCACAUACAGCAGCAUCAUUAAAAUUGCAGUGGCUGUGGCAAUUGAUGGUCUCCUCGUAACCUGGUUCUUCUGGAUGCAGCGCAAACAUUGUAGAUGGAAUAUUUGUGAUUCUGAAUUAAGAAGUUCUCAACGAUGAUCAGAGUCACAGCACCGGAUAACUAAAGAGGCAGACUUGGCAGCCUUAACUUCAGACACUUUCGGAGAUCUUUGUAAUUUUUGACAUUUUAAUGGCUGAUCUAAUCCAUUAUGAUCAGCUACUUUUUUCAAUUGAUUGUUGCCAAAAGCUUCUUUAUUAGGAUUUGUGUUCAGAGCUCUUCAUGUGCCAUGUUUUUAUUAGAUCCAAACAAAUGGUUACUCUUUGUUUUGCCGAUCAAUAACGAGUUCAGAAAAUAUUAAAGCAGGCCACAUUAUAAAUAACAAUGCUCGUGGUAUAGUUUGUA